AUUCUAGUUCACCCUACACUCUGCCCUUACAUUUUUCCAAAAGUCGCAACAUUUGUAAAGUUAUUACCAUUUUAUACAAGUAUAUUGCAUAGCAAGCGAAUAAUAUUAGAAUCUUAUUAACUCCAAAUUCCAAAUCGAUUUACCAUGUGGAUAUUACGUUUACGUAACGAGAUGACAAGCUAUUGUUCAACUGAAUUGAAAAACUGGACUCGUGAGACAAAACGUUGGGAAAGCUUAGGAAAGGCAAUGAUUGGCAUUUUAGCCAAACUGCCUAUGCGUAAUAACUCUCAGCCAGAAUUUGUACGUCUUUACACAAGUGCGCCGAGUGAUCUGUAAUGCAGUCAAGACUUAUGUGAUUUUCAAAAUAAACAUGUUGACAUUAAUGCCCUCAUCAGGGUGUUUGGUCGCGGCACACACACACACUCACAAUAAUUUUCAUGGUCGUACUUGUGAAUGGAAUAUUUAUGCGAAAAUCUGAACACUGCCUUGCAAAAUUGGGGUUUGCUCGCCGAAAACUU
rnacentral:sRNA from 1 species